GGAAGUGAGGAUAAGAUAAGAGGAUGGGAGGGAGAAGUAACAAAAGUGAAAAAUAAUUUCAAAUAGAUUUCAAUUUUUAAAUUUUGUUUUCACUUUUGUUACUUCUCUCUCUCAUCACUCCUCUCUCCCAUCUCUCA
rnacentral:miRNA from 1 species